CUAUCACGGAAAAAGUUUCUUGCGUUUUGGAGCACAUGUGGACACAAACCAUCACAAGCGGCAAAUAAAGGUAUAUCCAAAAAUCCUACCAACUAUAACUGCCAUCUCAAACCCCACUACAUACAUUCUUUUUCCUUUUUUUCUUCUUUUUUACAUUAAAUGCACUCAACUUUCAUUUCAUGGGCUCACUGCGAUGGCAAUGCGUGAGGGCAAGCCUGGAUUAAGUCAACUCGAGGAGGGGUUUACUGGGCAAACAAUCGAUCGUAACUCUUGUAUCGAGUGAUUGUGAUCGAUGAAUCCCACAUUUAUCGUGGAUGGUUGGUUGAUCCAGGUUGUAUUAUGAAGAUAUCCCUCCUAUCCCUAGCUAUCCUCGCUCGUUUUUAUGGACACUCGAAUAAUCUUUCAGGAGAAUAUGCAUUUGAGUUAUCAUCAACAAAAAUACGGAAUGGACGGGAUGGACGCUUAAGGCAACCAGAAUUAUUUGCAUGUUUAAGCAAAUGGAUGGAUUUGUAACUUAGAACUUAGCUUCCAGGAAAAGAAGUUCUUCUACACUUUCCACAGAGCGGAAUCGUCCCGGUUUGUUAGGCUGGCUAGUGUAAGCUAGUGGUUGCUUCUUGCCCAUGAAUUCUUCCAGCAAUCCGGCUAUAUAUUCUACUCUGCCACUGAGCUGCCGAAUUUCCUGUGUAAUUAUGUCCUGCCGGACCUGGACGUUCGCAAGCAUUCGACGCAUGGAUUGGAAUUCCUGCGCCGAACCCGUCGCGGAUGAUGAUACCGGCAUAUUGUUGUUGCAGUCGGAAUUUUGCUUUGAAUCCAUCUAAAAUUGAAAAAAGCGUUGUUAGGGACAUUUUAACUUUCCACUGUGUUAUUUAAAACAGUUUUUUCUUACCUUUUUGCGAAAAUAAUCUAAACACUCGUCACAAGACUAUCCUGAACCAGAACUAAAGCAAAAUGAAAUGUUCA